AGUAAAUAAAAAUUAUGAAAGCAAAAAAUUAUGGCGGUAUUUUAAGCUUUUCAGAGGAAUUUGCUCUUUAAUGGAUAAAACACCUAAAUCUUACUUGAAUUUGUUAAAUCAAUUUGUAUACCACUAUAAAAACAAUUAAUAACUCUAAUUGUUUAAAUUUAUUAAAUUAAAUUAUGUUAAGUCAAGGUGCAGUAAAAAUUUAAGAAUGAAGUGAAUUACAUUUCUUUUUAGAAAUAAAAAAUUAAAUUUACAAAUAGGAUUUGAAAGUAAAAUUAAAAUAGAAUGUUAAUUUGAAUAAAGCUCUAAAAUAUGUACAUAUCGCCCGUCACUCUUUUAUAAG
rnacentral:rRNA from 1 species